ACAAAUUGUGGAAGCGAUGAGGGAUUUGGCGGCAACUGGGCACUUAGUCAAACCUUAGCUUAUAGUGCAACCGGCCACAUCCUAU
rnacentral:ncRNA from 17 species